AUUGAACGCUGGCGGCAUGCUUUACACAUGCAAGUCGAACGGCAGCACGGGGGCAACCCUGGUGGCGAGUGGCGAACGGGUGAGUAAUGCAUCGGAACAUACCCAGUCGUGGGGGAUAACGUAGCGAAAGUUGCGCUAAUACCGCAUACGUCCUGAGGGAGAAAGCGGGGGAUCGCAAGACCUCGCGCGAUUGGAGUGGCCGAUGUCAGAUUAGCUAGUUGGUGGGGUAAAGGCCCACCAAGGCGACGAUCUGUAGCGGGUCUGAGAGGAUGAUCCGCCACACUGGGACUGAGACACGGCCCAGACUCCUACGGGAGGCAGCAGUGGGGAAUUUUGGACAAUGGGGGCAACCCUGAUCCAGCCAUGCCGCGUGCGGGAAGAAGGCCUCGGUUGUAA
rnacentral:rRNA from 1 species